rnacentral:rRNA from 1 species
UACAUGUGGGGCAAGCGUUGUUCGGAAUUACUGGGCAUAAAGGGUGCGUAGGCGGCUUGUUAAGUCAGGGGUGAAAGUUUUCGGCCCAACCGGAAAAUUGCCUUUGAUACUGGCGAGCUCGAGUGCGUGAGGGGUAACCGGAACGAGCAGUGUAGCGGUGAAAUGCGUAGAUAUUGCUCGGAAGGCCAACGGCGAAGGCAGGUUACUGGUACGCAACUGACGCUGAGGCACGAAAGCCAGGGGAGCGAACGGG